ACCCGUGUAGCCCAAUAGGCAGAGGCACUUGAUUUAGGAUCAGGGUAGUGAAGGUUCGAGUCCUUUCAUGGGUA
rnacentral:tRNA from 1 species